UCUGCAGGGCUUCACCGGCGAGGGCGGGUGUGUAGAGGAGAUAAUAGCGCGUAAAUCUGUCGGCUUCUACGCAGCCGCCGUUUUGUUACCGUCACUCUAAGCGCUUGAUUUGAAAGUAUUUCAAAGGUUUAAAACGUCUGUUCCUGGGCUCGGGUGCAGGUACCUGUCUGUUGCAGGCACUCACAGCUGUCACGAGUUGGCCCCAAAUCACACUUCUGUUAGGAAAUCGCUGUAUCGAAGGCUACCUCGGGUUUUUUUGAUAAGCAGGCAUGGCUGUCACGCUGCGUAC